rnacentral:rRNA from 1 species
UGAUUAAUCUUGGUCAAUGGACGAGCGUCUGAACCAGCCAUGCCGCGUGAAGGAUGAAGGCGUUCUGCGUUGUAAACUUCUUUUGCGGGGGAAGAAACCUUGAUAUUCUUAUCAAGCCGACGGUACCCCGAGAAUAAGCACCGGCUAACUCCGUGCCAGCAGCCGCGGUAAUACGUAGGGUGCAAGCGUUAAUCGGAAUUACUGGGCGUAAAGCGUGCGCAGGCGGUGAUGUAAGACAGAUGUGAAAUCUCCAGGCUCAACCUGGAAACUGCCAUUGAUACUAUUAGUCUUGAAUAUUGUUGAGGUGGGCGGAACGGGUCAUGUAGCGGUGAAAUGCAUAGAUAUGACCCGGAACACCGAUUGCGAAGGCAGCCCACUAAGCAAUGAUUGACGCUGAGGCACGAAAGCGUGGGGAUCAAACA